UUACUUUCCCCCUCGCUCAUUUUCGUUUAUUGGUUGCUAUGGUAACACUUCCGGUAAUCAUUGAGGCAGCCGGUACAAAAGCGUAGUCCGCUCGCCGGCUCUUCCUCUGCUCCCAUUGUCGCCUGUCACUUUUAGUGUGAGGUCACGUCUCCGAUCGGGCGACUGGUUGGGUGCUGCUCCGUGCUGUGUGUGCACGCUGCUGUGGGUUGAUCGGCAGUGGUGCAUGCUGGCAGCUGCCUGAAGCUCUCUUCCUUUUCCUCUCGUGAGCGUUUGUUACUACAAGAAGUUGCUGUAGGCCGGUGGUGGUGGUGCUGGUGGUCUGGUGGUGGCAUCCUCCCGUCUUGUCUUGCUGUGUCCCUGGGAGUGGGUUUUCGUCACUGAGAGUGUCUGCCACGUGUGCUUGGUGAUUAUUGUGGUGUUUUUCUUUGGUGGAUCCCUGCCCUAGCCUUCGUCCACUCACUUUGGCCUCAGCCCUGUUAAGGUUCUUUUCCCCCCAUUUUUGUUGGUGUGAAUGAGUUUUAUUGAAGUUUUUAGGAUUAUUGUUUAAUAAAAGAAACAUAUGUUAACUUGGAA